rnacentral:rRNA from 1 species
AAUAGAUACCCCGGUAGUCCUUGCCGUAAACUAUGUAUACUUGGUGUAACUGGACUCAACCCUAGUUGUGCCGAAGCUAACGCGAUAAGUAUACCGCCUGGGGAGUACGCUCGCAAGGGUGAAACUCAAAAGAAUUGACGGGGACCCGCACAAGCAGUGGAGCAUGUGGUUUAAUUCGAUGCAACGCGAAGAACCUUACCCAGACUUGACAUACAGCGGAAUAUGGUAGAAAUAUCAUAGCCCUUCGGGGCCGCUGAACAGGUGCUGCAUGGCUGUCGUCAGCUCGUGCCGUGAGGUGUUGGGUUAAGUCCCGCAACGAGCGCAACCCUUAUCGUUAGUUGCCAACAGGUAAUGCUGGGAACUCUAGCGAGACUGCCUGGGUUAACCAGGAGGAAGGUGAGGAUGACGUCAAGUCCGCAUGGCCCUUAUGUCUGGGGCUACACACGUGCUACAAUGGUCGGUACAGAAGGCAGCGAAGCCGCGAGGUGAAGCAAAUCCCGAAAGCCGGCCCCAGUUCAGA